UGCAGUUAGCGUAGCUGAUCAGUGUUUUUCAUGCUGUUCAGGCUUCAAAAAUUUCUUUCCAGUAGUUCUACUUCACUGUAGAAAUGUGUUAAUCCAGUCUGGAGAUGAACAUCUCGGUGAAUAUUUGCCGGAUCACCAGAAAAAAAGGUUGCCAUCGCACUUAACUGCUUUUCAAGAAGGUUACAGACACUGUAAGGUGAUCCAGUAUAAGGACUGAACACAGCCAGGAUUUGACAAGUUAUAUUGGUACAUAAG